rnacentral:lncRNA from 1 species
UGGGUUUUUAGGAUCAUAAUUUCAUUUAAUUAAGUAGGUUUUACGCGAAUAAAUGUGCCGACACUACAAGUAAGGGCGUGUUUGGUUCGAAGUCGGAGUCGGAAUCGCAAUCGGAAUCAAAAUAAGCUGGAAUCGGAAUCGGAAUGACUCAUUACCUAAUUCCGUUUGGUUCAUCACCUGAAUCGGAAUCGGAAUAAAUCAUUCUCAUUGUUGGUGUUUGGUUCAGGUGGAUAUGAAAAACGUAAUCAAAUUAAUAUACGAACGUUAUCUUUAUAAUAUAUUAAUUUGAAUUCAAAUUAAAAAUUAAAUAUUAAAAAUUUAUUAUCAAAAUUUUUAAAUAAUGUCAAAAUUUUAAAUCUAUUUUUUUAAAAAAUAAAUUAAUCUUUGAAGUUGAGUAGAUA